GGAGGCUUAAGAGUGAUUGCAACAUUCUCUCUCCAUUUUUCUCAUGCGGGUCUCACUUGCAUAGGAUGUAAAAAAGAAUGCAUAUGAGCAUCUAAUUUUGCAUCUCCACAGAUGUGAUGCAUUUUUACAACCAUUUAUACCUGCCAAUUGCAGGUGAUUCCGAAGACAAAGUGUGUAUAUUUAGCAUACAUCUGGCUUUACACCCCCCACUAGUGAUA
rnacentral:lncRNA from 1 species